UUCACCGUGAUCCCUUCACCACCUCAUGCCAGCCUGCUUGUGCGUGGAACCCUUGCAUAGCUGACGCGUGGACUCUUUGGAUUCACCCGCAAAUUCAUCCCCACGGCGCACUGGAAGGUUCAGGCCGUUUUUCAGAGUUGCAGACUGGACCCUUCAAAACCUGAGCUUUGCAGUGCACUUUUCUCCAAAAUUUGCUACUGUAUUCCAAAAUAUCCCAAAACAAAAUUUGUAGAUUAUAUAUUUCUAUAGAACUUUUAUUUCAGACACACCUUUCAAUUCUGCCUCUAAGUUGGCCUAAAACUGAUCUGAACAUACUGACUUCAGGCUGUUUUCAGCUUCUCAGAGAUUUGAUUUAAACUGCCUGUCUUUGAAUUCGAAUUUUGAGAAACUUUCCUCUGAUUUCAAAACAAUAAAUGGUUCAACUCUAUGGUCCCAACAUCCAGUUUAGCUAUAGAGUACUUAUUAUCCAAAGUUCACAUAUAAAAUCUCAUUUUCUUUGGUCCCAAAUUCAGCUAGUCCUCACUGUAACUUUCAGACUUUCCUUUCUUUGGCCUGUCCGACAGGACUGAAUCACACUUCCUUUCCAACUUUGCAACCCAUUUACAAUAUCAAAACCCUCCUUUCCAUGUCCACAAAUUACUGUAAUAUGUUGACUCAUGUUUGAAGGUUCCAUUUGCACAUCCAAGGCCUCAGCCCGUAACAGAAAUCCUUUUAAAAUUAAUUUCGAAAAUGGCUUACCGCUACUAUGACAGGCUUAAUCCAGUCGGAGUUUUGCAGAUAGUUAACACUUAACAACACCUUCAGGUCACCAACUUCAAUAAUUUAAUCGGGAGGCUUAUGAUCUAGGAUUGAUUCCAAACUUGAUGCCACUAAGUUUCAAAUGCUUCAACUCAUAGUUCCAUAUUUUUGACAAAUUUUUCUGAAUUUAGAACUCAAAUUUUGACUUUUGGUCAAAUUUCCUCCAAAUUUGACUUUUUCCCAUAAUAGCUCAUUUAACUUCAAAUCUCUUGCUCAUUAACUUAAUGACCAUCAUGAGACAUUAAACACCCGGGGUGUUACAUUGUAUCUCCCUGCAGAACACCCUGCACUCACAAGUGUUAUGCGACACAGAAAUGUGCCACUUGCAGUACUUGUGAUUUUUCAACUCAGCGGCCGAUGGUAUCGUACAAUUAGGAGAUAACUUGAUUUCCUGGAGCAACAGAUCGAAGAUCCUAUCAGCAUUUAUGACGUCGAAUCCAUACCUUUCUGUUUCCUUCUUGGCAAACGGGCAUGAAAUCGGCGGACAUCAUAUGAGGGCCAAUAUAUGCAUGGAGAUCCCUGUGUAGAUAUAUAUCUUCUAUAAUCAAAUUUCCAUUCAAUAAGAAAAUAUAUAAAGAAGUUAAUUUUUUAGUAGUUGUUGAUGUAAUCAAAUUAUUUUCAAAUAAUCUUUUUCCAAA